rnacentral:rRNA from 1 species
CGAACGGGUGAGUAAUGCGUGACCAACCUGCCCCAUGCUCCAGAAUAGCUCCUUGGAAACGGGUGGUAAUGCUGGAUGCUCCAACUUGACGCAUGUCUUGUUGGGAAAGUGUUUAGUGGCAUGGGAUGGGGUCGCGUCCUAUCAGCUUGUAGGCGGGGUAAUGGCCCACCUAGGCUUCGACGGGUAGCCGGCCUGAGAGGGCGGACGGCCACAUUGGGACUGAGAUACGGCCCAGACUCCUACGGGAGGCAGCAGUU